rnacentral:rRNA from 1 species
GGAGGGUGCGAGCGUUAAUCGGAAUUACUGGGCGUAAAGCGCGCGUAGGCGGCUUGGUCAGUCGGAUGUGAAAGCCCCGGGCUUAACCUGGGAAUUGCAUUCGAUACUGCCAGACUAGAGUAUGGGAGAGGGGAGCGGAAUUUCCGGUGUAGCGGUGAAAUGCGUAGAUAUCGGAAGGAACACCAGUGGCGAAGGCGGCUUCCUGGCCCAAUACUGACGCUGAGGUGCGAAAGCGUGGGGAGCGAACAGGGAUUAGAUACCCUGGUAGUCCACGCCGUAAACGAUGAGAACUAGAUGUCGGGAGGAUUUGCCUCUCGGUGUCGCAGCUAACGCGUUAAGUUCUCCGCCUGGGGAGUACGCCGGCAACGGUA